CCUACGGGUGGCAGCAGUGGGGAAUAUUGGGCAAUGGGCGCAAGCCUGACCCAGCAACGCCGCGUGAAGGAAGAAGGUUUUCGGGUUGUAAACUUCCUUUAAGAGGGAAGAGCAGAAGACGGUACCUCUUGAAUAAGCCACGGCUAACUACGUGCCAGCAGCCGCGGUAAUACGUAGGUGGCAAGCGUUGUCCGGAUUUACUGGGUGUAAAGGGCGUGUAGCCGGGCUGACAAGUCAGGUGUGAAAUCCAGUGGCUCAACCACGGAACUGCAUUUGAAACUGUCGGUCUUGAGUAUCGGAGAGGCAGGCGGAAUGCCUGGUGUAGCGGUGAAAUGCAUAGAUAUUAGGAAGAACACCAGUGGCGAAGGCGGCCUGCUGGACGACAACUGACGGUGAGGCGCGAAAGCGUGGGGAGCGAACAGGAUUAGAUACCCGAGUAGUC
rnacentral:rRNA from 1 species